rnacentral:lncRNA from 1 species
CUUCGAUGUCAUGGGCCAGUGGGACCCGCCGUUCAACUGCAGCUCGGGCGACUUCAUCUUCUGCUGCGGGACUUGUGGCUUCCGGUUCUGCUGCACGUUUAAGAAGCGGCGACUGAACCAAAGCACCUGCACCAACUACGACACGCCGCUCUGGCUCAACACCGGCAAGCCCCCCGCCCGCAGGACGACCCCUUGCACGACCCCACCAAGGACAAGACCAACCUGAUCGUCUACAUCAUCUGCGGGGUGGUGGCCGUCAUGGUGCUCGUGGGCAUCUUCACCAAGCUGGGGCUGGAGAAAGCGCACCGGCCCCAAAGGGAGCACAUGUCCAGGCUCUAUGAAAACCUGCUGUUUACGGAGGCACAGAUUUCUUUCCAAGAGGAUGAACCUGCCCCUGGAGAGUGGAGUGUCGGACUUCAAACCUGGACAGUCUGAGUGCACGGAUCCUUGGCCGCUAGGCUGCACUGCGUUUGAGUGCAAACCUGCAGGAAUUCCAGACUUCUCAGAUCACAAAGAAGUACGUGAUGCCCUGCAAACAACAGCUCAUGCAUCGGGGCCAGUUCAAGAAGCUACCGUAAGAUGAAGACUAGGAAUGCUUUCUAUAUCGGCCCCGGCAGGCCCAGACGUCUUGGUGGAGGCGUUGGUGAGAAAUGACCUUGGGGACAGAAGCACAUAUGUGAAGCUCUCUACACUUGAAGCCAGUAGGGAACACAUGUCAUUAUUUUGUCCACCUUCAAACAGAAUUGGAAAUCCAAGUGGCAAAUGGCAGAUAAGGGUCCUGUGUGUUUUUAAAACAUGCUUCAGAAGAACUGGCACCCCUUGGAAAGAAAUAGCAACAAAUAAUGAUAAAUGCACCUCCUCCUCUUGCCUUUUGCCUUCCAGUUUCUUUCCUGCCUCCCAUCUUUCUAUGCAUUUGUGGUUAUCCUAAGGCUUUGACCAGCUUCCCAGGCUGGAGAAGUCCAUGUGUGCAUGCAUCUACUGUUGGCCACAGAAAAGUCUUAAUUUAUUUUUCUUUGCAGGGUAUGUUGACUUCUCUUUGGGCACUGAGUCCUUGCAUUUUAAAAAUCAACUUCAUUGAAGUAUAAUUUACACAAUAAAAUGCACACAUUGUAAGUGUGUAGUUUGAUGAGCUUGGACAAAUGUCUACACCUGUGUAAUCAUUACUCUAGAAAGCUCACUCAUGCCCAUUGCCCUUGCAUUUUUGAAAAAUAAUUGAUGCUUCUUGUGCAAGAAGAAGUGCUCAGGAACUCUAUUCAAGUGUUUAAAAGUCAACACAUAGAUUGGACAUUGGGAUACCUGGAGGCUUUGAAGCAAGAUACCAGGACUCUGAGUUCUGUUUGGAAAUAUUGGUGUCAUAUAUUUGUCAUUGUAAUUGGAAAGAAAAGAGAUGCACCAUUUUCUUCUUGUUCCUUGGAUAAGCUAAGCUCAUUCCCACCUUGGAGCUGUUGCACUGGCCCUUGUGUGGCUGGUCCCUCCUCAUCACCAGGGUCCAAGCUCCAAUGUCAUCUUCUCUGAGAAGCCGUCCCUGACCAGGCUUAGUUGCUUCCCACCCCAGCCUGACACACUCCAGCCCAUCACCCAGUCAGUGUUAUUUGCUUCAUUUUUACAUUAUGGUCUAAAAUUAACUUGCUAGUUUACUGGUUUACUAGUUUAUUAUCUGUCUCCUUCCAUUAUCCCUCUCCUUCCCUCCUUCCCUUCCCCUUCCUUCCUUCCUUCCUUCCUUCGAGACACAGUCGUACUCUGUCACCCAGGCUGGAGUGCAGUGGUGUGAUCUUGCCUCACUACAACCCCUGCCUCCUGGGUUUUAGCGAUUCUUCUGCCUCAGCCUCCCGAGUAGCUGGGACUACAGGCACCCACCACGAUGCCAGG